AGGGCACCACCAGGAGUGGAGCCUGCGGCUUAAAUUGACUCAACACGGGAAAACUCACCCGGCCCGGACACUGGAAGGAUUGACAGAUUGAGAGCUCUUUCUUGAUUCAGUGGGUGGUGGUGCAUGGCCGUUCUUAGUUGGUGGAGUGAUUUGUCUGGUUAAUUCCGAUAACGAACGAGACUCUAGCCUAUUAAAUAGAUCGUUGGUUUACAAACGCCGGCGAGACUUCUUAGAGGGACAGGCGGCGAUUCAGCCGCACGAAACAGAGCAAUAACAGGUCUGUGAUGCCCUUAGAUGUCCGGGGCCGCACGCGCGCUACACUGAAGUGAUCAGCGUGCAUUUUGAAACCUACUCUGUCAAGAGUGGGGAACCCAAUGAACCUUCUUCGUGAUUGGGAUAGGGGAUUGUAAUUAUUCCCCUUGAACGAGGAAUUCCCAGUAAGCGCGAAUCAUAAGUUUGCGUUGAUUACGUCCCUGCCCUUUGAACACACCGCCCGUCGCUACUACCGAUUGAAUGUUU
rnacentral:rRNA from 1 species